ensembl:misc_RNA Metazoa_SRP Metazoan signal recognition particle RNA
GCCGGGCAUGGUAGUGGGUGCCUGUAAUCCCAGCUACUCAGGAGGCUGAGGCAGGAGAAUUGCUUGAACCCAGGAGAUGGAGGUUGCAGUGAGCCAACAUGGUCCCACUGCACUCCAGCCUGGGUGACAGAGUGAGACUCUGUCUCAA